GAUUAAGUUAUUAAGGGCGCACGGUGGAUGCCUUGGCACUAGAAGCCAAUGAAGGACGUUACUAACGACGAUAUGCUUUGGGGAGCUGUAAGUAAGCUUUGAUCCAGAGAUUUCCGAAUGGGGAAACCCA
rnacentral:rRNA from 1 species